rnacentral:rRNA from 1 species
UAGACGGAACGAUACCUAUGUGCCGCGGAGCUUCGGUUGGCUACGGAURGCCGGCUUCGGCCGGUGAGUAAGGCCGUUCGUGACAGGGCCGGGGCGCGGCCGGAUGAUGGCCGCCCCUCUCCUAUCUCGCACCGCAUGUUUUUGGAGUACCUGGUGCUAAAUGACCUGCAGACGACCUGAUUCUGGGUCGGGGUUUCGUGAGUAGCAGAGCAGCUCCCUCGCUGCGAUCU